rnacentral:rRNA from 1 species
UGGCCCAACGGCCGGGUAAUACCGCAUACGAUCCACUGGGGGAGUCCCUGGUGGAGGAGACCUCCGGGGCACUGAGAGGGGCUCGCGGCCUAUCAGCUAGUUGGCGGGGUAAAGGCCCACCAAGGCGACGACGGGUAGCUGGUCUGAGAGGAUGGCCAGCCACAUUGGGACUGAGAGACGGCCCAGACUCCUACGGGAGGCAGCAGUGGGGAAUCUUGCGCAAUGGUCGAAAGACUGACGCAGCGACGCCGCGUGUGGGAGGAAGCCCUUCGGGGUGUAAACCACUGUUGCCCGGGACGAAUGCCCCUUUCGAGGGGAGUGACGGUACCGGGUGAGGAAGCACCGGCUAACUCCGUGCCAGCAGCCGCGGUAAUACGGAGGGUGCGAGCGUUGUCCGGAAUCACUGGGCGUAAA